CUUGGAGGAAUGUAUAGCAAUAGCUAAUUGCACUAUAAAUUUUAGUGUAAAAUCGACUACGUCGAAUAAAAUUCUGGGUAGACUUUUGAUAAUGACAUUAUCUGCCCAUAAGUCUUGACCAAAUUACGUGCCAGCAGUCGCGGCAAUACGUAGAAGACAAGUGUUAUUCAUCUUUAAUAGGUUUAAAGGGUACCUAGACGGGAAAUAAAGCCUCAAAAAGGGACUAGUUUUCUAGAGUUUUAUGUGAAGAAGUAUUAAAGUACUAGAGGUGAAGAGAUGAAAUUCAGUCAUACCUUGAUGGCACAGGUUAAGGCGAAGGCAUCUUCUUAUGUAAAAACUGACGUUGAGGGACGAAGGCUUUGUGUCUCGAACAGGAUUAGUUACCCUAGUAGUCUAAGCAGACAAUGAUGAAUGUCAUAGAUUAGAUGUAAUUUGAUCUAUAAAUGAAAGUGUAAGCAUUCCACCUCAAGAGUAAUUUGGCAACAUUGGAACUGAAAUCAUUAGACCGUUUCUGAAACCAGUAGUGAAGUAUGUUGUUUAAUUUGAUAAUCCGCAAAAAACCUUACCACAUUUGAAUAGAUAUAUUUUAUCAUACAAGCGUUGCACGGCUGUCUUCAGUUAAUGUCGUGAGGCUAUGGUUAGUUCCAUUAAUUAACGUAAACCCUUACUUUAUUUUAAAAUGUAGUAGUUCACCGCUAGAUUGGAUGUGAUAAUAGGGAUCAAGACAAGUCAUCAUGACC
rnacentral:rRNA from 1 species